UUGUCACAGCUUCAGGUCUUCAGGCACGGGUCAUUCUGUCAUGACAGAUUUUUGACCAAAUAUGAAUUUUUAGGCCUUCCUUCUCUGUAAUGUCAUGAUAAUAUGUGAUAACAGAUGUCUGUCUCUUGAAACAAGACUUGACAAAAAUGUCGCACUGAAGAAUCCACCUUGACCCAUUAUGCAGUUCACAUCCACCUGAUUGAAAAACCCUUCCUUUCUUCCAGCACCACAUCCACAAAUUUAGAAAAGACUGAGAAGCAUGACGGGACAUUUGAAAUUCAAUUCAGUAAAAUUAACCUGGCCAAUAUUUUAAUCUUUUUCAUAUAAAUGUUACAAAUGUAGUUAAUAUGCUAAUAUUGGUUAAUGCAUUAGUAACUAGCAAGAACUAGUAAAAUAGUACAUGUAUGAAUUAACAAUAACCAAGAUUAAUAAAUUCUGUCAAAAAAUAUUCAGUGUUAGUUCAUGCCACUUGAUGCGUUAAAUAAUGUUAACAAAUCCAACCUGAACU
rnacentral:lncRNA from 1 species